AAGUCGUAACAAGGUUUCCGUAGGUGAACCUGCGGAAGGAUCAUUAACGAUUUCAAACCCUCGGGGGUUGCCGGUGGCCCUGCCCCGGACGGCUAGGACACCCUACGCCUGCCGUGAGCGGUCUGCCGCGCGAUCCCCGAAACCCACAAACCACUGUGCACCUUUCGCGGUGGAGGGCGUGGCGCGAGCCCGUCCGAAGCCGCGGCAUCACAUACCACUGGUACCUUAGAAAGUGUAGCGGACUCCGUUCCGCCCAUAAACGUGACAACUUUCAACAACGGAUCUCUUGGCUCUC
rnacentral:misc_RNA from 1 species